rnacentral:rRNA from 1 species
GAUGAACGCUGGCGGCGUGCCUAAUACAUGCAAGUCGAGCGAACAGACGAGGAGCUUGCUCCUCUGACGUUAGCGGCGGACGGGUGAGUAACACGUGGAUAACCUACCUAUAAGACUGGGAUAACUUCGGGAAACCGGAGCUAAUACCGGAUAAUAUAUUGAACCGCAUGGUUCAAUAGUGAAAGACAGUUUUGCUGUCACUUAUAGAUGGAUCCGCGCCGCAUUAGCUAGUUGGUAAGGUAACGGCUUACCAAGGCAACGAUGCGUAGCCGACCUGAGAGGGUGAUCGGCCACACUGGAACUGAGACACGGUCCAGACGCCUACGGGAGGCAGCAGUAGGGAAUCUUCCGCAAUGGGCGAAAGCCUGACGGAGCAACGCCGCGUGAGUGAUGAAGGGCUUCGGAUCGUAAAACUCUGUUAUUAGGGAAGAACAAAUGUGUAAGUAACUAUGCACGUCUGGACGGUACCUAAUCAGAAAGCCACGGCUAACUACGG